GAUUCACGCUAUUUACAACAAUGCCAGCCAAAUGCUGGGUUGGGAGGGUAAUUGUUAAAAGUUAGGAGGGUAAUUGUGUCUCUGAACAUAUUUCGAUAAAUUUACGGUUUUGCCAAUCUAAUUCUAAAAUGGCCCCUCGAUUUUACAUUAUUUACAUUUCUACCAUUGUGUGUGGCUGUGCUUCAGCCAAAACUUACGGAUUUGUGGAGGGAUUUCAGGGAGGUCGAUCUUCCUAGCGCUGGCGGCGACGGCCGGAAACAUCGACAAAAUUCUGCAGAAGAAGGGCACCGUCAUUCUUCCUCCUCUCUCUUUCAACCUCAAGGCAUCUUCUAGAACUAUUCAUGUGAAAAUUUGCUUCAGAUGGAGUUCUUCCUUUAAUUGGGUUUUAACUUUUAUUAAGUUUUUCAUGUUUUUGUAAUCAUCAUUUAAUUUAUGAGAUUUUUUUUAUGUAAUUUAUAUGAAUUUUAGUGAUUCUUAUGAGUUUUGUGUAAAUCGUCGAUUAAUUUCA